rnacentral:lncRNA from 1 species
UUGCCCGGGCGGCUGUCACUCAGCGGCAGAGAGGCUGGCGAUUGGCGCCGGGCUUGGUUACGCAUUUGCCUCGCGCUCACAUACAGGGGUAGGGCAGUAGAAAGGUGAUCAAUCUUCAUCAGGCUACAUUUCCAAUCACCUAAACAACCGGGCGAGACGGCGACCGCGACAAGGAACGGCGGUUUGGUUCUCCCACGUCUCUAAAGUAAACCAAGUGGAUAGGCUUUCCACUCUGUCUCAACUCUGGGCCGUGUCGGGGUGGCGGAGUUCCUCCUUCAUAUCAAAUAUAAACUAAGGGAAAACUUCAACGGGUUCGUUAAUGCUGGAGAGUGCCGUGAGAGGCUGUCCUGCCCCUGGGAUUUCUUUCGCUCACCUCCAUUGGAAGAAUCGAUCUUCUGAAAUAAAACACACCAGGCAAAUAUCCAGGAAUUUAAAGAGACGUUGGCGGAAAAAAGAAAACCAGUUGUGUGCGGACCAUUUGGGG